GGAACGUACCCAAGAGUGGGGGAUAACGUAGCGAAAGUUACGCUAAUACCGCAUACGAUCUAAGGAUGAAAGCAGGGGACCGCAAGGCCUUGCGCGAACGGAGCGGCCGAUGGCAGAUUAGGUAGUUGGUGGGAUAAAAGCUUACCAAGCCGACGAUCUGUAGCUGGUCUGAGAGGACGACCAGCCACACUGGAACUGAGACACGGUCCAGACUCCUACGGGAGGCAGCAGUGGGGAAUUUUGGACAAUGGGCGCAAGCCUGAUCCAGCAAUGCCGCGUGAGUGAAGAAGGCCUUCGGGUUGUAAAGCUCUUUUGUCAGGGAAGAAACGGGUGAGGCUAAUAUCCUCAUCUAAUGACGGUACCUGAAGAAUAAGCACCGGCUAACUACGUGCCAGCAGCCGCGGUAAUACGUAGGGUGCAAGCGUUAAUCGGAAUUACUGGGCGUAAAGCGUGCGCAGGCGGUUAUAUAAGACAGAUGUGAAAUCCCCGGGCUCAACCUGGGAAUGGCGAUGAAGACUGCAAGGCUAGAAUCUGGCAGAGGGGGGUAGAAUUCCACGUGUAGCAGUGAAAUGCGUAGAGAUGUGGAGGAACACCGAUGGCGAAGGCAGCCCCCUGGGUCAAGAUUGACGCUCAUGCACGAAAGCGUGGGGAGCAAACAGGAUUAGAUACCCUGGUAGUCCACGCCCUAAACGAUGUCUACUAGUUGUCGGGUCUUAAUUGACUUGGUAACGCAGCUAACGCGUGAAGUAGACCGCCUGGGGAGUACGGUCGCAAGAUUAAAACUCAAAGGAAUUGACGGGGACCCGCACAAGCGGUGGAUGAUGUGGUUUAAUUCGAUGCAACGCGAAAAACCUUACCCACCUUUGACAUGUAUGGAAUCCUUUAGAGAUAGAGGAGUGCUCGAAAGAGAGCCA
rnacentral:rRNA from 1 species